rnacentral:rRNA from 1 species
UACGAAGGGGGCUAGCGUUGCUCGGAAUCACUGGGCGUAAAGCGCACGUAGGCGGAUCUUUAAGUCAGGGGUGAAAUCCUGGAGCUCAACUCCAGAACUGCCUUUGAUACUGAGAAGCUUGAGUCCGGGAGAGGUGAGUGGAACUGCGAGUGUAGAGGUGAAAUUCGUAGAUAUUCGCAAGAACACCAGUGGCGAAGGCGGCUCACUGGCCCGGUACUGACGCUGAGGCACGAAAGCGUGGGGAGCAAACAGG